AUGAACGCUGGCGGCGUGCCUAAUACAUGCCAGUCGAGCGAACAGACGAGGAGCUUGCUCCUCUGACGUUAGCGGCGGACGGGUGAGUAACACGUGGAUAACCUACCUAUAAGACUGGGAUAACUUCGGGAAACCGGAGCUAAUACCGGAUAAUAUAUUGAACCGCAUGGUUCAAUAGUGAAAGACGGUUUUGCUGUCACUUAUAGAUGGAUCCGCGCCGCAUUAGCUAGUUGGUAAGGUAACGGCUUACCAAGGCAACGAUGCGUAGCCGACCUGAGAGGGUGAUCGGCCACACUGGAACUGAGACACGGUCCAGACUCCGACGGGAGGCAGCAGUAGGGAAUCUUCCGCAAUGGGCGAAAGCCUGACGGAGCAACGCCGCGUGAGUGAUGAAGGUCUUCGGAUCGUAAAACUCUGUUAUUAGGGAAGAACAAAUGUGUAAGUAACUAUGCACGUCUUGACGGUACCUAAUCAGAAAGCCACGGCUAACUACGUG
rnacentral:rRNA from 1 species